rnacentral:lncRNA from 1 species
AAACCAACAGAAAUAGAGAUGUGUUGAUUGAUGAAUUUGGAUGGUUUAAACUUUGAUUUUGGAUAAUACUUAAGAUAUAACUUGUAUCUAUGUAAAUGAAUGUUUUUAAAUGAUAUUUAUAAGGAUAUAAAUGGCCUUCUAAUAUCCUGAAAUCCGAUUGGUAACAUGCUAAUAAAAUAGAAACCAAAAACUGUCACAAUGGAAACUGUCUGAUUUUAGUGUUGUAGAAAUGGACUGUUUUGAGGCUGAGAAAACUUUACUUGUCACGACUUUAGAGCA